GACGAACGCUGGCGGCGUGCUUAACACAUGCAAGUCGAACGGAAAGGCCCUGCUUUUGUGGGGUGCUCGAGUGGCGAACGGGUGAGUAACACGUGAGUAACCUGCCCUUGACUUUGGGAUAACUUCAGGAAACUGGGGCUAAUACCGGAUAGGAGCUCCUGCUGCAUGGUGGGGGUUGGAAAGUUUCGGCGGUUGGGGAUGGACUCGCGGCUUAUCAGCUUGUUGGUGGGGUAGUGGCUUACCAAGGCUUUGACGGGUAGCCGGCCUGAGAGGGUGACCGGCCACAUUGGUACUGAGAUACGGCCCAGACUCCUACGGGAGGCAGCAGUCGGGAAUAUUGCACAAUGGGCGGACGCCUGAUGCAGCAACGCCGCGUGCGUGAUGACGUCCUUCGGGUUGUAAACCGCUUUCGCCUGUGACGAAGCGUGAGUGACGGUAAUGGGUAAAGAAGCACCGGCUAACUACGUG
rnacentral:rRNA from 1 species